AUAAACUUGACAUCAAGUAAAGUAUAAAAGCAGGGCUCUUUCUGGAACUUCACAAAAUCAUCUUCUAAGAUUCUGAAGGCAACGAUCUGAAAAUCAAGGUUCAUCAUGGCAAUGCUGAGAAGUCUGCUGCUUGUUUUUAUUGUGUUCUCCAUGGGGAAUGCAGAAGUUGAAAUAGUUGAAAAAUGCCCCUUUUGUUGGUAAUAUUUUGGUGUCA